CCUACGGGAGGCAGCAGUGAGGAAUAUUGGUCAAUGGGCGCAAGCCUGAACCAGCCAUGCCGCGUGCAGGAUGAAGCAUCUAUGGUGUGUAAACUGCUUUUGUACAGGAAGAAACACUCGUUCGUGAACGAGCUUGACGGUACUGUAAGAAUAAGGACCGGCUAACUCCGUGCCAGCAGCCGCGGUAAUACGGAGGGUCCAAGCGUUAUCCGGAAUCAUUGGGUUUAAAGGGUCCGUAGGCGGUUUAGUAAGUCAGUGGUGAAAGCCCAUCGCUCAACGGUGGAACGGCCAUUGAUACUGCUAGACUUGAAUUAUUAGGAAGUAACUAGAAUAUGUAGUGUAGCGGUGAAAUGCUUAGAGAUUACAUGGAAUACCAAUUGCGAAGGCAGGUUACUACUAAUAUAUUGACGCUGAUGGACGAAAGCGUGGGGAGCGAACAGGAUUAGAUACCCUGGUAGUCCACGCCGUAAACGAUGGAUACUAGCUGUUCGGAGCAAUCUGAGUGGCUAAGCGAAAGUGAUAAGUAUCCCACCGUGGGGAGUAACGGUUCGCGAAGAAUGAAACUUCGAAAGGAAGUUGACGG
rnacentral:rRNA from 1 species